rnacentral:rRNA from 1 species
UACGUAGGGACCAAGCGUUGUUCGGAUUUACUGGGCGUAAAGGGCGCGUAGGCGGCAUGACAAGUCACUUGUGAAAUCUCCGGGCUUAACUCGGAACGGCCAAGUGAUACUGUCGCGCUAGAGUGCAGAAGGGGCAAUCGGAAUUCUUGGUGUAGCGGUGAAAUGCGUAGAUAUCAAGAGGAACACCUGAGGUGAAGACGGGUUGCUGGGCUGACACUGACGCUGAGCGCGAAAGCCAGGGGAGCGAACGGG